rnacentral:rRNA from 1 species
UACGGAGGGUGCGAGCGUUAAUCGGAAUUAUUGGGCGUAAAGGGUGCGUAGGUGGUUAUAUAAGUUAGUUGUGAAAGUCCUGGGCUUAACCUAGGGAUGUCGACUAAGACUGUAUGACUUGAGUAAAGUAGAGGGUAGUGGAAUUUCCGGUGUAGCGGUGAAAUGCGUAGAGAUCGGAAGGAACACCGGUGGCGAAGGCGGCUACCUGGGCUAUUACUGACACUGAGGCACGAAAGCGUGGGGAGCAAACAGG